AUUGGCUCUAUAGUGCCAAAUAAGACGUUAAAUUGCAAAUUUAAAGAUAUGCAAAGAUUAUAUUGGA
rnacentral:tRNA from 1 species